GAGAGGCAGAAAGAGCGAGGAAGAGAGCAGGACAGCAGGCGGUGCGGGGGACCAGGGACAAGGCGGGGCAGCCACAGAGGCCUCACAUCCAAAGCAACCAAAGGAGAUGGGGAGGGCACACGUAUGAAGUCCAGUC